AACGAACGUUGGCGGCGUGCCUAACACAUGCAAGUCGUACGAGCUUGGCUUCGGUCAAGCGAGUGGCGGAUGGGUGAGUAACACGUGAGUAAUCUGCCCUUUAGUCUGGCAUAACCUCCCGAAGGGGUGGCUAAUACUGGAUAAGCUCCCGGUGACGUAGGUCACAGAGAGAAAAGCUUCGGCGCUAAUGGAUGAGCUCGCGUCCCAUUAGGUAGUUGGUGAGGUAAUGGCUCACCAAGCCUACGAUGGGUAACUGGUCUGAGAGGAUGAUCAGUCACACUGGAACUGAGACACGGUCCAG
rnacentral:rRNA from 1 species